rnacentral:rRNA from 1 species
AAAGAUUAAGCCAUGCAUGUCUAAGUAUAAGCAAUUAUACAGCGAAACUGCGAAUGGCUCAUUAUAUAAGUUAUCGUUUAUUUGAUAGUACCUUACUACUUGGAUAACCGUGGUAAUUCUAGAGCUAAUACAUGCUAAAAAUCCCGACUUCGGAAGGGAUGUAUUUAUUAGAUUAAAAACCAAUGCCCUCCGGGGCUCACUGGUGAUUCAUGAUAACUUCUCGAAUCGCACGGCCUUGCGCCGGCGAUGGUUCAAUUCAAAAUUUCUUCCCUAUCAACUUUCGAUGUUUGGGUAUUGGCCAAACAUGGUUG